rnacentral:tRNA from 1 species
GCGGCGGUAGUCUAGUCUGGUUUAGGAUGGCGGCCUCCCAAGCCGUUGAUCCCGGGUUCAAAUCCCGGCCGCCGCA